AUGGAGUGCAACAAGUAUUCCCAAGGCAACAUUUAUAUGCAGCAUAGCCAGGAUGUCUGGGGUAGCAUUGGAAACAGCCACAUAAAGGGCCUAAACAAUCAAGUAGGUAUGCUUUUAAAGUGGCAGUGGACUAAAGAUGAGCACAGGGUUGUAUACACCAUGCUUAGAAAGGAUGUCUCGGAGAGUGUUGAAUGA
rnacentral:rRNA from 1 species